UACGGAGGGUGCAAGCGUUAUCCGGAUUCACUGGGUUUAAAGGGCGCGUAGGUGGGUCUGUAAGUCAGUGGUGAAAUCUCCGGGCUUAACCUGGAAACUGCCAUUGAUACUAUAGGUCUUGAAUAUUGUGGAGGUUAGCGGAAUAUGUCAUGUAGCGGUGAAAUGCUUAGAUAUGACAUAGAACACCAAUUGCGAAGGCAGCUGGCUACGCAUAUAUUGACACUGAGGCUCGAAAGCGUGGGGAUCAAACAGG
rnacentral:rRNA from 1 species